rnacentral:rRNA from 1 species
UACAGAGGGUGCGAGCGUUGUCCGGAAUCACUGGGCGUAAAGGGCGCGUAGGCGGCCUGGUAAGCGUGCGGUGAAAGCCCGGGGCUCAACCCCGGGUCGGCCGUGCGAACUGCGAGGCUGGAGCACUGUAGAGGCAGGUGGAAUUCCGGGUGUAGCGGUGGAAUGCGUAGAGAUCCGGAAGAACACCGGUGGCGAAGGCGGCCUGCUGGGCAGUGGCUGACGCUGAGGCGCGA